GCACCUGUAUCGGAGCGGUCAAGGUGCUGGACUGGAAAGUCCAGUUUCGAGAGCCGCGUGAAUUCGAAUCUCACAGGGUGCG
rfam:Spizellomyces punctatus DAOM BR117 chromosome Tnknown supercont1.7, whole genome shotgun sequence.